GGGGAGGCAGCAGUAAGGAAUAUUGGUCAAUGGACGCAAGUCUGAACCAGCCAUGCCGCGUGAAGGAUGACGGCCCUCUGGGUUGUAAACUUCUUUUAUCUGGGACGAAAAAGGGGCAUUCUUGCUCAACUGGCGGUACCAGAGGAAUAAGCACCGGCUAACUCCGUGCCAGCAGCCGCGGUAAUACGGAGGGUGCAAGCGUUAUCCGGAUUUACUGGGUUUAAAGGGUGCGUAGGUGGGCUUUUAAGUCAGUGGUGAAAUCUCCGGGCUUAACUCGGAAACUGCCAUUGAUACUAUUAGUCUUGAAUAUCCUGGAGGUAAGCGGAAUAUGUCAUGUAGCGGUGAAAUGCUUAGAUAUGACAUAGAACACCCAUUGCGAAGGCAGCUUACUACGGGAUUAUUGACACUGAGGCACGAAAGCGUGGGGAUCAAACAGGAUUAGAUACCCGCGUAGUCC
rnacentral:rRNA from 1 species